rnacentral:lncRNA from 1 species
CCUAAUGCUCAUGGCACAACAAACAAAAUCCACAAAUAAAUCAACAAAAUUGCCGCAUAGGAGACCAGAGGAUUCAGGUGUCGUCGGAUCUCUGGAGGACCAGCACGGGAGCCGACGGAGUAGGUCGACUCGGUUGAUGAACCGAGGUCGAUGGGGAUGAAGAGGAGAGGGCGCACCAGAGCAAAAGGCGAAGAAGAGGUGUGGAUAUGGGGGGCGGUAACCCUAGCCAUGAAUCCCUGCGCGCUCGGAUGUGGCCAUCUCCCGCGCUCAACGAAAUCCAUCCCGCCAAGCACCACGCUGUCCCGGCUCGCGAG